rnacentral:misc_RNA from 1 species
AAGAGUUGCAAAACUCCCUUCAUACCAUCGCGAACGCUACCCGAUUCUCGUUGCUUCGGCGGGGGUCCCCUCUCCAAAACGGGAGCCCCGCCGGAGGAACGCAGCCAUAUACUCUUGUAUUUGCUGGCCUCUCUGAGUACGAUUUAUGCGAAUAAGUCA